GUUGUUUGGCCGAGUGGUUAAGGCGUGCUUCUAACGCAGCGAGAGUUCGAAUCUCUCAUGCAACA
rnacentral:tRNA from 1 species